ACAUGCAGUCGAGGGGCAGCAUAAUGGAUAGCAAUAUCUAUGGUGGCGACCGGCGCACGGGUGCGUAACGCGUAUGCAACCUACCUUUAACAGGGGGAUAACACUGAGAAAUUGGUACUAAUACCCCAUAAUAUCAUAGAAGGCAUCUUUUAUGGUUGAAAAUUCCGAUGGUUAGAGAUGGGCAUGCGUUGUAUUAGCUAGUUGGUGGGGUAACGGCUCACCAAGGCGACGAUACAUAGGGGGACUGAGAGGUUAACCCCCCACACUGGUACUGAGACACGGACCAGACUCCUACGGGAGGCAGCAGUGAGGAAUAUUGGUCAAUGGACGCAAGUCUGAACCAGCCAUGCCGCGUGCAGGAUGACGGCUCUAUGAGUUGUAAACUGCUUUUGUACGAGGGUAAACGCAGAUACGUGUAUCUGUCUGAAAGUAUCGUACGAAUAAGGAUCGGCUAACUCCGUGCCAGCAGCCGCGGUAAUACGGAGGAUUCAAGCGUUAUCCGGAUUUAUUGGGUUUAAAGGGUGCGUAGGCGGUUUGAUAAGUUAGAGGUGAAAUUUCGGGGCUCAACCCUGAACGUGCCUCUAAUACUGUUGAGCUAGAGAGUAGUUGCGGUAGGCGGAAUGUAUGGUGUAGCGGUGAAAUGCUUAGAGAUCAUACAGAACACCGAUUGCGAAGGCAGCUUACCAAACUAUAUCUGACGUUGAGGCACGAAAGCGUGGGGAGCAAACAGGAUUAGAUACCCUGGUAGUCCACGCAGUAAACGAUGAUAACUCGUUGUCGGCGAUACACAGUCGGUGACUAAGCGAAAGCGAUAAGUUAUCCACCUGGGGAGUACGUUCGCAAGAAUGAAACUCAAAGGAAUUGACGGGGGCCCGCACAAGCGGAGGAACAUGUGGUUUAAUUCGAUGAUACGCGAGGAACCUUACCCGGGCUUGAAAGUUAGCGACGAUUCUUGAA
rnacentral:rRNA from 1 species